AGCAAGGAACGCCUGGGAGUUUAUCACCGAAAAUCUCGAAGGGAAUCGAUUGUCGUGCAGUGUGGCAUGUAUGUCUGGAUAAGUUAGACUUUCCACGCCAAAAACAAGAAUGGUGAUGUAUUUAUCUGGAAUGCGUAUGGUCGCGAUUGGAUGGGUCGUGCUAAUGACAACAGCAAUAUCGUCCUUUGUGAUGGCGAAAAAACGCAUUGACAGGAAAAGGCUGGCGAGACUAAAAGCUAAAGCAAGAGAAUCACAAGAACUCUCACAACAAUAAAUGCAGAUAACGAUAUCCAGAUGACAACACGACUUUGUUUGCUUGACUAGACAUCGAUGAAGCAUCUAACGCUGCUCUCAGGCGUCUUCUGGUUUUGCUAGAAGUCUGGACCAAAUAUAGAGCAUUCAAUUUUGCCGAGCCAUGAUGACAAAGCAUUUUUGAACCUCGUCUAUUGAAUUAGCCUGGUAAUGUUAUCUUUCUGGGCUGUGUAGAUUAUAAACCCUUGCCGUUGUAUCUCCUGAACCAGUCACUAAAACAUUGCCAUCCCUAGGAACAAAUGGAAUAGGAUUAAUAACCCCUGUUAAUUCAGUACUUAUACUGUAUACGCUGUAUGCAGUAGCAUCAGAGUAAAAAAAAUAUACAGAAGUUGCUUCAUCGCGUUUAAAUAAGUUAACCAACUAAUCCAAUUUGUAACAUAGCAGAGGAGAUGGAUUAAUUUAAACAAAUGGAGUAAAUGUUCUGUACUUUUA